rnacentral:rRNA from 1 species
UACGUAGGGUGCAAGCGUUGUCCGGAAUUAUUGGGCGUAAAGAGCUCGUAGGCGGUUUGUCGCGUCUGCUGUGAAAACUCGGGGCUUAACCCCGGGCCUGCAGUGGGUACGGGCAGACUAGAGUGCGGUAGGGGAGACUGGAAUUCCUGGUGUAGCGGUGGAAUGCGCAGAUAUCAGGAGGAACACCGGUGGCGAAGGCGGGUCUCUGGGCCGUAACUGACGCUGAGGAGCGAAAGCGUGGGGAGCGAACAGG